AAGUCGUAACAAGGUUUCCGUAGGUGAACCUGCGGAAGGAUCAUUAUCCAUCUCAACUGAGCCGGCGCGGCCCCUUCUUGGUGGUACCGCGAAAGCGUUCACGCGCCGUCACUCUCACCCUUUUUUUACGAGUACCUUCGUUCUCCUUCGGUGGGGCAACCUGCCGCUGGAACUAUCAAAACCUUUUUUGCAUCUAGCAUUACCUGUUCUGAUACAAACAAUCGUUACAACUUUCAACAAUGGAUCUCUUGGCUCUG
rnacentral:misc_RNA from 1 species